rnacentral:rRNA from 1 species
CGGCCCGCACAAGCAGCGGAGCGUGUGGUUUAAUUCGAUGCUACACGAAGAACCUUACCAGGGUUUGACAUACAAGUAGUAGGGAAAGGAAACUGGACCGACCCUUCGGGGAGCUUGUACAGGUGCUGCAUGGCUGUCGUCAGCUCGUGUCGUGAGAUGUUCGGUUAAGUCCGCUAACGAGCGCAACCCUCGCUGUGUGUUACGAGUGUCACACGGAACUGCCGGUCAUAAACCGGAGGAAGGUGGGGAUGACGUCAAAUCAUCAUGCCCCUUAUGUUCUGGGCUACACACGUGCUACAAUGGCCGGUACAAAGGGACGCAAAGCCGCGAGGUGGAGCAAAUCCGAUAAAAGCCGGUCUCAGUUCGGAUUGCAGGCUGCAAUUCGCCUGCAUGAAGUCGGAAUCGCUAGUAAUCGCAGAUCAGCAUACUGCGGUGAAUACGUUCCCGGGCCUU